AUGUUAUCAGCUUCCCAGAAAGAGGCUCCACGAUAUCUAGAGCAGCCAAGACUAAUGAAAGGAAACCUACUCCUCUGAAGCUUUGAAGUGGCUACAAUCUUUUUUGUUGAGACCCCGGCUGGAUCUAGGACAUAGACUUGUGGGAGACUGGCAACAACAUGGUCACACCAAAGAAGAACCUGGGGUGGAUCUGGAUGCAGAAUUCUCAC